rnacentral:rRNA from 1 species
AAAUCUGGUUGAUCCUGCCAGAGGCGACCGCUUUUGGAGUUCGAUUAAGCCAUGCGAGUCGAGAGUCUUAGGGACUCGGCAUACUGCUCAGUAACACGUGGAUAACCUGCCC